CGGUUGCGUAAAGCUAAAAUCCACCAAAACGGUGUCGUUAGUGCAUCGGAGAAAAUCCAAAACCUUUUAAAACAAACGGGGUGCUGCUGCUGCUGCUGCAUCCGGUUCCUCGAUCGUAAAAACUGGAAAAUUAAGAAGAGUGAGAGGAAAAUGGCGAUGAAUUCGGUGAAAUGGGGAUAUGUCCGUAUCAUCACCGGCACCAUUCUCGGCGGCGUCCUCGGCUUCUACGUUAUGCACCGCGUCGAAGUCAGCUACAAGGAAAAAAUGAAGGAGAGAUUGAGGCAAUAUGAAACUGAAUUGAAGAAGAAAGAGAAGUUAAAUGAGCUUGAAGAUUCCAUCUAGCUCUUUAUACAUGAAGCAACAGGUGAGCAGUAAUGCAUGGAAUUGGGUUAAGGCAUUGGACAUGAGCUGUUCUGGCGAUAAGCAAACAAGAAUUAGGGACAUGUCCAUUGGUGGUUAAUCCAGACAAAACUAAUUUGUCGGAAUGCUCUAUCAAUCUACCGUGCGAAUUUUAACAUGAAGAUGAAAACUAGCAUAACACUUUGAUCUAUUAAAGAUGGUGGGAUUGCAGAACUGAUUUUCUUACAUAAAUGCUAUGAAGUAGGGCUUUCUUUUUUGAAUCAGAAAAGACGGGGUUUUAGGGUUUAGCGUUUAGAGUUUAGGAUUAACUCAGUUGUUCAUUUUGAAUUUGAAUACCUCUGCCAAUCCCCUGCUGCUUGUGUCUUACUUCAAUGAUCAUGCUCAACUGGAUGUGGUUUGACAUCUCAGCUCAUCCUUAUGGUUUGAUAUAUCAUCGGUAUACGGAUUUUAUA